GGGGGGGGGGGAAAGCGGCGGAAGACCAAGCAGAAGAGGCUCGGAAAGGGAUGACGUCACGGUUGGGUGGAUUGAAGUUCGGGCCUUCUGCCGGUGGUUCUUGUUUCGGUCAGUGGGGCAAGUCGUGGUUCCGAUCGAAGCCUCCCAGGGCAGGGCGCCUCCCAGGGCUGAAGCGAUAGAAAGAGUCGACCCAGAAGGGCAGCCGUGUUAGUUUAUUGAAUCAAAAUCUACGAAGAAUUUAAGGAAUUAACUGGAACGCAAGUGUGUGUUCUAGAUUUCUUUGGGUAACGGAACAGUGUUUUCAAGUACAAUCCACAAUCAAGACUGCAAGACACCUAGAUGCUGAUUGGCUGUCAUGGCAAUUUGCUUAUGAUAGAUGGAGAAUGGAGAAGCACAUGCAGGCAAAAUGUAAUACAGAAUGCAUGUGAGCUUAUACAUAUUGAGGAUUCUAUAAGAACAGCAUCUUUCCCUGUACCCAAUAGCUGCCCAGAUUUGGGACACAAGGUCAGAACAUUGCACAGAGAGGGCAAGGAGCUGACACCCAUUAUAUAUUUGCAAUACAGGCUUUCCUAAAUAUUUCUCAGAAAUAUUUUCUAGCAAGAUAAAUACUUGAAAAUCAUAAAUCUAACUGGCGUUGUUCCUCUAAUUGCUAAAUAUUUUUCAUCUGCCACCUUCUUCCCAAGGAUUGAUUCAUUUGGCAUUAAGCUUCAACAAAUGAGAACCUAAAUUCACUUUUGACAAUCGGUGAGUCUGCCUUUUGCAUUGAUAACUGCCUUGCCUUUUCCUCUCCUUAUUAAAUUAUCCAAUUUGCUUUAUGGAUGACAUACAAUUGCAAAUCCCAUUAGCUGUAUUCAGGAAGAAGGUAUCAAUAUCAUGUUUCAUGUAGGCAUCUUUUUCCAUGUGUUUGAAAAAUAUGACAUGAAAGUUUGGUAGAAGCAAAAGUACCCAAGUACCUUAAAAUGAUUAGAAGAUAAACUGAUGGUUGCUAGUAUAAAACAACAAAUGUAUAAAAUCACACAACACAAAAGAGUCCAAACCAAUCCCUUGAACUUAGAAGGCUUCUGAUUUAAUGCUGUCAUUUUUUUUUUGUAUCAAGAAAAUUCUCACAUGCUAUAAAUGCAGAGAUUUUUUUCAAGGGAAAAAUUCAGGGUUCAAAACUAGUUCAAAACUAAGUCUUUCAUGAAGAGUUCUUAAUUCAGAAACUUCUCAGCAUGGUCAUAUGGGUACAGGUCAUUUUUUGUAUCCAAGUCAGCAGAUGGGAUAUAUCCAAGUUAACAAAUGUAACCAGUGAGUAGUUACAAUGCACUGCUAGGCAAAAAUUAAGAACAGCUGACACAUGUUAACUAGUACCUCUUCGCACAUGUAUGCACAUUCAUUUAGCAGCAAUAGCAAUGAAUUGGGAAUCUAAGUACUGUAAAGUACUAAAAUCCAGGAAAUAGAUAUCUAUUUUUAUCUACUCCUGGAAGCAGCUAUCAGUCACUAGAUUAGAUGAACAAAAAAAAAAUUCCAAUAGCUUUCGCAAGACAAAAACAGAAUGAAGCCAUCCUGCUUGAGAACUCCUAUGAUGUGUUGAGUACUUUAGCCCAAAAUGUCCCGGAAGUUUACCAAAUUUCUAUUCUUAGUAAUGUUUCAUAGAUUGUACAGAUUUUUUCAAAAGAGUGAGGUGCAGAAGUUCAAAGCCAAGGACUUUGGAUUUGUUGUAGUUCUAGUAUGCAGAGACUUUUCAACUUAACUCUCUCUCCUCCCAAUUUAGGCAAAUAUUAAUAAUUAACUUUUCUAAAUCUGAGAGGUUUAAACAUGGCCCUUUAAAACAGCAAACUUUAGCAUUCUGGUUCUGAAAUGUCUGUGGCCCAGAACCUGCUGAAAUCUCUCCAUUGUCCAUUUUCUAGUACGUCCUAAAGCAGGGGUCAGCAACCUGCGGCUCUGGAGCCGCAUGUGGCUCUUCCAUCCCUCUGCUGCGGCUCCCUGUUGCUG